rnacentral:tRNA from 1 species
GCCUUAGUAGUGUAACGGUAACACACUCGGCGCGUAUUCGAGAGGUCCAGGUUCGAGUCCCAACGAGGGCA